rnacentral:rRNA from 1 species
GACAGAGGGGGCAAGCGUUGCUCGGAAUUACUGGGCGUAAAGGGCGCGUAGGCGGGAUGGCAAGCCGGUCGUGAAAUCCUUCGGCUCAACCGAAGAACGUCGAUCGAUACUGCUGUUCUUGAGGGUUGCAGAGGAGACUGGAAUUCCCGGUGUAGCGGUGAAAUGUGUAGAGAUCGGGAGGAACACCGGUGGCGAAGGCGGGUCUCUGGGCAAUUCCUGACGCUGAGGCGCGAAAGCGUGGGGAGCAAACGGG